UGAAGUGGAAAUCAUAAUUAACCAUCAACCACAUUUGAUGUCAUAAUGGCAGAAGUUGAGAUCAGAGAACUGUGGUCACAACUGUGCUGUGUGCAAUCAUCAGGUGGUCUAGUUUUUCUCUGUCUUCAUUUUCAAUGAACUGUGAGAAAUAUGUAUUCUUCACUCUUCAAUCAGUAGUCUUCAACCACAGCGAAGUUCUGCGAUGGAAAUCCAACAAAGGAUGAUCCAAUCCAGAAGAACGGUCACGGCACCACUGUAACAGUACUCUUCUUGAGUUGUGUAGAAUCAAUCAUCGACACAAACUCCAACUUGUAGCACCAAUCAUGGAGAUUUAUUCUGAUGAAAACAGCACAAAAUUGCAUGUCAUGCAAUGCACGGCUCACCAUCCAACUCUGCACCCAUGCAGGCACUGUACAAAAUAUACAACCCCCCAACACACAUGUUGCCAACUCCUCAGUAAGAAAAGUAACUAUUGGCUGUCCUAAAAGUCGCUAGAAGUCACUAAAUGAUGUCAUCAUCUAAUUUGCAUAAGUGGCCAUGUGCAUGUAAUUGUGAUGGAUGCUGUAGGAGAGAGGAAUAACAUCGUGGGAGAGACAAAAAGUAAUACUUUAGAGGAUGAUAUUACUCCAACCAGUCCUGAGGAGUAUUAUUUAGAGGGUAGCAGAGUUAAGAUCUCCUGUAAAUAUACAGUAAAAUCAGAUAUUCUGCUGUGGUACAGACAGUACUCUGGAUCAGGCCUCCAAUUGCUUUAUAUAGUAACAACUAACAAUAAUCCAUACAAGGUAAGAGAUGAUCCACAAUACUUUUGACUGUCUGUUAAUCUGAAUGAAUAGAGAAACCGUGUGGAUCCCCUCUGCUGAAGUGACAUACUCUGCUCUGUACUACUGUGCACUGAUGGCCACAGCGACAGGAAACCCAGAAACACAGUACAAAACCCUUUCAAAUUUGAUUCACACAAUUAAAUGGAGAGAAUCUACCUCCAACACCACCCAGUGGAGGGAAUGAGAGAUGUAGUAUCACUGAAAAGAGGACAAAUGAGAGGAGAGGGAAGGAGAGGCCAGGAGAGGUGAGGAGAGGAGAGAUUGAGAAUCUUUACAGCAACUGUACUUUGGGGUGGAGUUUGUAGGUGAACUAAACAGAAAUUAUUAACUGAAAACCUUGCAGAUGAAGUUGGUUUGGAGUAUUCAGCUUCUGUUGUGCAAUUAGUCAGUUUGACUUCCAACCCCAGCCAUGUUGUUCAUCUGGUCAUUUAUUAUGUUCUCAGUAAUAGGUAAGUUAUGGCUUUCAAAGUAGUGUCAUGUUUUCUGCUUCUAAAAUUACAACAAUACAUGUUUAUUUAAAUUAUAAAAUGACUCAAUCUUAAUUUCUUCAGAUUUGCAGGUGACACCUUUGAGCAGAAUAUCGAGCCAAACCAACAUGAAGUGUAUACAGAAGUGGGCAGUAAUGUUCUUCUUUCCUGCAACUACUUCUCAGCAGACAGUCUACUAUGGUAUAAACAGUCUCCAGGAUCA